rnacentral:tRNA from 1 species
GCCCGGGUGGCGAAACUGGUAGACGCAGGGGACUUAAAAUCCCCGGCCGCAAGGCAUGCGGGUUCAACUCCCGCCCUGGGCA